rnacentral:rRNA from 1 species
GUAUGAAUGGCUACAUGAGGACCAAACUGUCUCCUUUGACCAAUCAAUGAACCUGAUCCUCUAGUACAAAAGCUAGAAUAAACCCAUAAGACGAGAAGACCCUGUGGAGCUUAAAAUACUAACACUAACCCAAACCACACCAUCAGGCCCACAACACCAAAAUAGUGUACAUUUUCAGUUGGGGCGACUACGGAACCAAACCAAACUUCCACGACAAGACACACCCCUCUACCCAAGGUCAACAAACCAAGAUACUACUUGACCCAGUAAUACUGACCAACGAACCAAGUUACCCCAGGGAUAACAGCGCUAUCCUCUUCAAGAGCCCAUAUCGCCAAGAGGGUUUACGACCUCGAUGUUGGAUCAGGACCCCCCGGUGGUGCACCCGCUACCAAAGGUUCGUUUG